rnacentral:rRNA from 1 species
GCAAGUCGAACGGUAACGAUGGGAGCUUGCUCCCAGGCGACGAGUGGCGGACGGGUGAGUAAUACUUAGGAAUCUACCCAGUAGUGGGGGACAACUCGAGGAAACUCGAGCUAAUACCGCAUACGCCCUACGGGGGAAAGCGGGGGAUCUUCGGACCUCGCGCUAUUGGAUGAGCCUAAGUCGGAUUAGCUUGUUGGUGAGGUAAAGGCUCACCAAGGCAACGAUCCGUAGCUGGUCUGAGAGGACGAUC